UUUUGAUUUCUUGACUGCUGCUUCCAUGGCUGUUGAUUGUGGAUGUAAGUAAAAUGAAAUCCUUGACAACGUCAAUCUUUUCUCCGUUUAUCAUGAUUUUGCUCAUUGGUCCAGUUGUGAGGCUUUUUGUUUUCUUUAUGUUGAGGUGCAAUCCAUACUGAAGGCUGUGGUCUUAGAUCUUCACCGUUAAGUGCUUCGAGUCCUCCUCACUUUCAGCAAGCAAGGCAAGGUUGUGUCAUCUGCAUAACGCAGGUUGUUAAUGAGCCUUUCUCCAAUCCUGAUGCCCCGUUCUUCUUCAUAUUGUCCAGCUUCUCAGAUUUGUUCAGCACACAGAUUAAAUAGGUAUGGUGAAAGAAUACAACGCUGACGCACACCUUUCCUGACUUUAAACCACUCAGUAUCCCCUUGUUCUGUCUGAACAACUACCUCUUGAUCUAUGUAAAGGUUCCUCAUGAGCACAAUUAAGUGUUCUGGAAUUCCCAUUCUUCGCAGUGUUGUCCAUAGUUUAUUAUGAUCCGCACAGUCGAAUGCCUUUGCAUAGUCAAUAACACACAGGUAAACAUCUCUUCUAAAAGCCAAAAAAUAGGAAAAUCCCAUGAAUACUACACAGUAGUAACACCAGGUGAGCAUAAACACGGAUCUCCUCUGACUUUUCCCGGGAGGGGAGAGAGAUUAGAUGAGAAGGUACCGGGAUGAACUAGAAAUGCUGGGCCAGCCUAGAAAGACUAGAUGUAAUUCACAAGCUUCUACACUAUUCUCCGUAACUUUAAUCAGACAUGAAUUAGAAGCCCCCAGCAAAAUCUACCAGUUCAUCAAAUUAUAUAUAAUUUAUUUUUUGUUCUUGUUGAGGAUAUACACAGCAGGAUACCGGUUUAUCUUUAAUGCCUUCCUGUCACCCUUUCUGACCCCCUCUCAGCCUUCUUUGCAUUUUUUUUCCUGUUUCCCAGCCAAUCUUCGUCAAACCCAGGUCUACUAUUUAUUUAAUAUUCACAAAUCUCCUCCCAAUCAAAACUUCCAUUUCCCAGUGGUUAACAGCUACUCAGCAGGGAACUGAUCAAUCAUUUGAUCAAGUAAUUCAUAAUACGGAAUGAAUGAGGCUUAACUCUUCGAGGAAUAAUUUAAAAUUCAAAUAGAUACACUGUGAAAGGGGAAGAAUAGAAGAGGGCUAAGCUGGGAGUGGAGGGGUAGGAUGGAGAAGGUAAUCUUGAGACACAUUUUACAUUUUCUCAUCCACAUCAAUCCUUUACUGCAAAUAAAGAACACAUUAAAUUGUCAUUGUAGCCUUAUACCAUACUCCUCCCUUCAACCUUUGUAAAGAGACUGUAUCCCAUGAGGCUCAGUACAAAGAUAGACAGCAUGGAUUUGUAUAAAAACCAAAACCAAACCCAUUGCCAUUGAGUCGAUUCUGACUCAUAGCGACUCUACAGGACAGGGUAGAACUGCCCCAUAGGGUUUCCAAGGAGUGCCUGGUGGAUUCAAACUGCCAACUUUCUGGUUAGCAGCUGAGCUCUUAGGUAUUGCACCACCAGGGAAUUACUAUAACCAAAAACUCACUGCUGUCGAGUCAAUUCUGACUCAUUGCGACCCUAUAGGACAGAGCAGAAGUGCCCCACAGAGUUUCCAAGGAGCGCCUGGUGGAUUCAAACUGCUGACUUUUGGUUAGCAGCCGUAGCUCUUAACCACUACGCCACCAGGGUUUCCUGGGGAUUACUAUAUAAAAAAAAAAAUAGGAGACCACAAAUAUUUGAAAGUGGGAAUCAGGAAUUGCCAGUCGUUCAGUACUUUUCUUUGCCUGAUGUUCCAAGAAAUUCUAUCAUAGCAGCAUUAUAUUCUUUUUUCAAUUUUUACAAUGUUAAUUUAACUGGCAAAUGUCAAAGGGAGGGAGGCAGUCUAAAAUCUUGCAGAUGAUUGAGAAGGUUGACGAGGUGGUUUUUUGUAAAUCAAGUGUAAUCCCACCGACAUACAACCAGCCAAGUCACAAGCAUACUUUAGGGGAUUUGCUUGAUUCUACCGAUUUUUGAACUGAAAGAACCUUAGUAAGACCAAGUCAACAAUUCUCAGCAAACUUUUUAAAAAAAUUCUGUCUCAAGAGUUUAUAUGUUGAGAGAGACUGACUUAUUACUUUUUUCCCCCAGAGCCCUAAAUUAGAUGAGAAAGACUAAGUGGACUGGAAAAAAAGAAUACUGUAUUUACACAUAUUUUCUUCUCUUAGACAAUUUACAUUGCAAAGGGUAUUAAAUUUACCAUUUGGUAACAUUUUAAAGAUGAAAUAUCUGGUGUUUUGUUCUGGUAACAAGAACAGAUCACAUAUUUUAAUUACCUAAAAUCUUAAUUUAUUAAUAAAUUUUAAAUGACAGUUUGCUACACAUUUCCAAAAUGAAAUAAGCUCUAAAAACCAUUUAUUCAAAAAGCUUUUAGGUUUGAGAGUAGGCCUUUACUAUGAAAAGAAUUAAUUAUUUUAACAUAAAACAGACCAGGCAAAAAAGAUGCAUUUCUAUUUAAGUCUUAUGAUUCCUAAACUCAAAGUAAGUAAAAGUAAGAAAAAGAGGAGAACUAGGUCCAGGGGUUUUAAGAUGAAUAUUGAUUGAUACAGUCAACUAUUUUUUUAUGUCAUUAAAACCUUUUAUGGAACUGUGUUCCGGUACCUCCAUUUGACUACAUUCAUGGAAUUCAUAACACAUUAAACAAAACAAUGAAAACAGUGAAGAUUUUUUUUGUUUUGUUUUUAUGUUGUGUUUGUUACCUGUAUCUACCUCUCUGGGGUCCCUGGGUGGCACAAACAGUUAAGUGCUAGGCUGCUAAUGAAAUGGUUGGAAGUUCAAGUCCACCCAGGAGUGCCUCGAAAGAAAGGCAUGGCAAUCUACUUCUGAAAAAAUCAGCCACUGAAAACCCUAUGGAGCACAGUUCUACUCUGACACACAUGGGGUCGCCAUGAGUCCAAACUGACUCGCUGGCAACUACUUUGGUUUUUUUUAGUAUCAGCUUCUCCAGCUAAGGACCUGUCUUCUACUAUAUUGUCUUCCCACAGAGCCCACUCGAUUAGCAGAAAGAGAAGAUGGGAAAUAAAUAUGCUGAUUGAUUUAAGAACUGAUGUAAAAAGAACUGGAAAAUUAUCCAGCUUCUUUUAUUCUAACUCUGAUCAGAUUUUUACCUUGUCUCCCAUUCUAAGGAAAUCUGAUGUAAUGUGCCAACUAAAUAAGACUUGCAAUAAAAUUGAUGUAUUUGUUUUUUACUUGUUUUCUGGGUUUAGAAAGGUAACUGUUUUAAUUUUGAAGUCCUUGUGUUUGACUACUCACUCCCGUGGGAGAAACAGCCUGGAAAGACUUAGCUUUGUAGCAGGAAUUCAGCACUCCCUUCUCAUUUAGGGGGAAGAAGAAAGGCAGGAUGCGGGACAAAGUACUCAACUGAGACCAUAUUUUGUAUUAGGGCUACUUAUGCUGGCUUUGCUUUGUUUGUUUUCUCCUCUUCUACCUUUCAGGAAAUAGUUCAACCCCUCAAGAACCUCUACUAUGAAAUAUCCAAUACAGGAUUUUAGAUGGAAUUGACAUCUUCACCUCCAAAAUUCAUACUUUGUACAUUCCACGUUCUGAUUAUUGAUGGAUGUUUGCAGCUGUUUCUUCUCAUUUUGAGUCCUGCCAUAUCAGCAAAUGAAGAUCCUGAAAGCUUGACUCCAUCUACAUCAUUAAGAUGAGAAAACUGAGGCUGAGAAGCUGGCUUACUGGCCCAAGACACUGCUAGUAUGGGGCAGACCAGACACUACCAACCAAGGGCUGUCUGACUCCAGAGCCACAGAAAUGAUUUAUCAUCUCCAGA